AUGCUUGCUUGGGCAGCACAUAUACUAAAAUUGGAAUGAUACAGAGAAGAUUAACAUACUCCCUGUAUAAGCAUGACAUGCAAAUUUGUGAAGAGCUUUUCUUCCUU
rnacentral:snRNA from 1 species